GGUGGGGCUUCACCACGUUGGCCAGGCUGGUCUUGAACUCCUGAGCUCAAGUGAUCUGCCUGCCUUGGCCUCCCAAAGUGCUGGGACUAUGGGCUUGAGCUACUGUGCCCAGCCGUGCCUGCCUCUUUAGACACAUCAAAAUCCGCCUCUGUGAUUUUUGCUUAUGGCCAUAUAGAGGCAAUUUGAGGUUCACCAACCACAAGGGAAGUAGCUCCCUGCCUUCAUGAGGCUCUGAUACACUAUAAACCUUCCAUUCAGAACCUGUGAUGGAGUCGAGUGUGUAGCCCUAGCUACUUGGGAGGUCAAGGGAAGAGGAUCACUUGAGCCCAGGAGUUUGAGACCAGCUUGAGCAAUGCGAACUGGAAAUAUCGACAAACAGCACUGAAGGCUCCUGGUCUACCACAGGAGGUGAUCUCUAGUGAAGAAGGUUGAGAUUUGCAUGCAGAAUUUCCAGAAUGCUGAAUAUCAGCACGGAUCACUGCAAAGAAGUUGGAACUCAUCUCACAUGAACUUCUCAGGUUCUCUUACAAGACCACCAACAUUCUUCAAACAUCAGUGAAAUAAAACAGGAGGAGGGUUUCGAGCUCUGGAUCCUCAGCCUGGAAAUGUCACAAUUUAAUCCCAAAGGUUUGCUGUGAAGUUGUAAGCAUGACAGUGUGAAACUCGACAGAUUAUUCUUGAAUUCUUUGUUUGUUUUCGUUGUGACCCGACUCUCAUAAAAUUUAUGUUUUCUUCCAAACCCCCAGGGUGUGUGGUCAUAUGACUUAAAUAGAGAAAAACAUUGUCAAAACAGUAUUGAGGAGUUAUCACUUUUACAUUGUUUUAAUUAAAGAAAAAGCCUUUCUAUCCAGGUCUAAUACCAUCAUUUUUAUGGGCAUGUUAAAGUAUCUAAUCUAAUACUGUAGUUAGUAGUAGUAUUUAGUAUUUUUAGUAUUAUUAUAGUUUUAUCUGUAUCUUAAAGAAAAAGUCAAUAAAUAUGAAAACAGAAAAAAAAA
rnacentral:lncRNA from 1 species